GAAUGCUUAACACAUGCAAGUCAACUUGAAUUUGGGUUUAACUUAGAUUUGGGUGGCGGACGGGUGAGUAACGCGUAAAGAACUUGCCUCACAGCUAGGGACAACAUUUAGAAAUGAAUGCUAAUACCUGAUAUUAUGAUUUUAAGGCAUCUUAGAAUUAUGAAAGCUAUAAGCACUGUGAGAGAGCUUUGCGUCCCAUUAGCUAGUUGGAGAGGUAACAGCUCACCAAGGCGAUGAUGGGUAGCCGGCCUGAGAGGGUGAACGGCCACAAGGGGACUGAGACACGGCCCUUACUCCUACGGGAGGCAGCAGUGGGGAAUAUUGGACAAUGGACCGAGAGUCUGAUCCAGCAAUUCUGUGUGCACGAUGAAGUUUCUCGGAAUGUAAAGUGCUUUCAGUUGGGAAGAAAAAAAUGACGGUACCAACAGAAGAAGUGACGGCUAAAUACGUGCCAGCAGCCGCGGUAAUACGUAUGUCACGAGCGUUAUCCGGAUUUAUUGGGCGUAAAGCGCGUCUAGGUGGUUAUGUAAGUCUGAUGUGAAAAUGCAGGGCUCAACUCUGUAUUGCGUUGGAAACUGUAUAACUAGAGUACUGGAGAGGUAAGCGGAACUACAAGUGUAGAGGUGAAAUUCGUAGAUAUUUGUAGGAAUGCCGAUGGGGAAGCCAGCUUACUGGACAGAUACUGACGCUAAAGCGCGAAAGCGUGGGUAGCAAACAGGAUUAGAUACCCUGGUAGUCCACGCUGUAAACGAUGAUUACUAGGUGUUGGGGGUCGAACCUCAGCGCCCAAGCAAACGCGAUAAGUAAUC
rnacentral:rRNA from 1 species